AACGCGUCUGUCAUAUGACUAAAAUCAAACAUCGUCUCUGUUCCUGGUCGUUUCUUUUCUGGUCCAUCCCUAUCAGGGGGCCAUAUUUUAAAUGGAUUUUUAGAACAUGGAAUGUGUUGUCCAUUUCUCCUAUUGACCUGGUAUUGCAGUACCUCCUGGACCAAUAAAGGAAAU
rnacentral:snRNA from 1 species